rnacentral:rRNA from 1 species
GAUGAACGCUGGCGGCGUGCUUAACACAUGCAAGUCGAACGGUAAGGCCCUUCGGGGUACACGAGUGGCGAACGGGUGAGUAACACGUGGGUGAUCUGCCCUGCACUUCGGGAUAAGCCUGGGAAACUGGGUCUAAUACCGGAUAGGACCACUGCCUGCAUGGGUGGUGGUGGAAAGCUUUUGCGGUGUGGGAUGGGCCCGCGGCCUAUCAGCUUGUUGGUGGGGUGAUGGCCUACCAAGGCGACGACGGGUAGCCGGCCUGAGAAGGUGACCGGCCACACUGGGACGGAGUAACGGCCCAGACUCCUACGGGAGGCAGCAGUGGGGAAUAUUGCACAAUGGGCGCAAGCCUGAUGCAGCGACGCCGCGUGAGGGAUGACGGCCUUCGGGUUGUAAACCUCUUUCAGCACCGACGAAGCGCAAGUGACGGUAGGUGCAGAAGAAGGACCGGCCAACUACGUGCCAGCCGCCGCGGUAA